rnacentral:rRNA from 1 species
AGGCCACUGCUAUCAGAGUUCGAUUAAGCCAUGCGAGUCGAGAGGUGUAAGACCUCGGCAUACUGCUCAGUAACACGUGGACAACCUACCCUAAGGAGGGGGAUAACCCCGGGAAACUGGGGAUAAUACCCCAUAGACUAUGGAUGCUGGAAUGCUUCGUAGUUCAAAGGUCCGCCGCCUUAGGAUGGGUCUGCGGCCGAUUAGGUUGUUGUUGGGGUAACGGCCCAACAAGCCUGUAAUCGGUACGGGUUGUGGGAGCAAGAGCCCGGAGAUGGAUUCUGAGACACGAAUCCAGGCCCUACGGGGCGCAGCAGGCGCGAAAACUUUACAAUGCGAGAAAUCGUGAUAAGGGAACUCUGAGUGCCCGUAAAAUCGGGCUGUCCAUCUGUUUAAAUAACAGGUGAAGAAAGGGCCGGGCAAGACCGGUGCCAGCCGCCGCGGUAAUACCGGCGGCUCGAGUGGUGGCCACUAUUACUGGGCUUAAAGCGUCCGUAGCUGGUCUGUUAAGUCUCUGGGGAAAUCUUCCGGCUCAACCGGAAGGCGUCUCAGGGAUACUGGCAGGCUAGGGACCGGGAGAGGUGAGAGGUACUCCAGGGGUAGGAGUGAAAUCCUGUAAUCCUUGGGGGACCACCUGUGGCGAAGGCGUCUCACCAGAACGGCUCCGACAGUGAGGGACGAAAGCUGGGGGAGCAAACCGGAUUAGAUACCCGGGUAGUCCCAGCCGUAAACGAUGCGCGUUAGGUGUAUCGGUGACCACGAGUCACCGAGGUGCCGAAGAGAAAUCGUGAAACGCGCCGCCUGGGAAGUACGGUCGCAAGGCUGAAACUUAA